GCAAAGUGAAGAUAGCAUAUCCCAUUGAACUUCUCAUCACUGUGGACAGUGGGAAGGCAGAUUCAGGAGCAGAUGGGGAUGAUUUGUGCAUGCAGCGGCAGCAGUGGGCAUGGUAUCAAAGUCUCAAGAAACUUACAACCUAAAAUUCAACUGUGGGAAAACAGUAGAAGAAAAAAGAGGCCAAAUGAACGACUAUUUUGAAGCUGACACAUACUGUACCAAAGAGAAAGAUGGGAAUGAUGAAAGAGGAAGAAUAAGGAAUAUAAUUUUUUUGUUUCAUUUUCACAAAUCAGACCAAAAGAUUUCUAACACUUUCUUCCCAUUUGUUGAAAAAAAAUCAAGUGUUUAUGUGCAUUUUUUGUCUUUUCCGUUUUGCAGUUGGGGAUCAUUUUGUGCACACACGCAAAGGCUACCCAAUUUUAUUUUAUUUUAUACAAAAAUGAUGUGUUUUGUCAAAAUUAAUGUGUUCUCAAAACUCAUUGACACAAAUAAUACUUUUAUUUGUAGUGCACAUAAGUUAAAACAUGUAAUUUCAAUAAUUAUCAGUUAAAUCAUCAAUAUUUAAGUCAUUAAAAGCCAGCUAAGGUGGAAUAUCAAAUCUGUUUCCUUGGAACUAAAAGUUGAAUUAAGACAUUGCAACUGCUGUUGAACUGGGUGGAUAUAUCCCUGGCUCUACAUUUAUUUCAUAUCAGUACAUUACUGAAUCCAACAGAACUGCUGAUCAUUGGGACUGCUUCUGGGAGUUACAGCAAUCUUACUGACAAAUGGUGAAAUGUUCCUCUCAUUGUAAUACCAGUUCCAUCUUGCUUGGAUUCCGCUUCGGUGCAUUCAGCCUCAGUAAACUCAGGCUAUUUUCUAUAUUUUGACUGAACACAGAGUCAAAAGUUCCCAACUUUUAGUUAAUGAACUACAGAGCUGUGCCAUUGCUAAUGUAGAACUCCAAAUCUCCAGACAGUCUUACAGAGCAGGGUAAGAAUAUCUAGCUGCCGGCAUAUGAUUUUCAGAUUAGUUUUUGCUUUGUUUAGUAGUGUUUCAAUUUCUGUUGAAUCAUUGAUGUUUUUGUUUUCUCUGAAAGCAUCUUUUAUUCUUCUGAUGGCAUAGGUCCUGUACCCGUAGACAGCAAAGUUCUGGCUCUUCUUCAGCAGGGGCCAAUAGAGGCGCAUCACAUCCGUGUCAACACACACGGAGGCUGUUUUGAGGCCUGGGGCUUGCUUAGGCCCUCCCUCCCUCUGUCCCUCCUUCCCUUUGUUCCUCGGAGGUCCCAGAAGAGGAGGUCCAGGUGCUGGAAACCUCUCAUCUGGUUCUAUCAGCCACAUUCAGUGUGUACAGCUAUUUCCAAUAACAGGUGGGCUAUACGCCUUCUAGAUAGAUGUUAAAUAUGAGGCGCUUCUCAGAUAAAAAAUUGUGGCAACAUUAGUUUAUGCAUAAUUAAAGAA
rnacentral:lncRNA from 11 species